rnacentral:tRNA from 1 species
ACCUGACUGGCUCAGUCAAUGGAGCAUGUGACUCUUGAUCUUGGGGUUGUGGGUUAGAGUCCCACAUUGGGUA